GUGGGGAAUCUUGCGCAAUGGGCGAAAGCCUGACGCAGCCAUGCCGCGUGAAUGAUGAAGGUCUUAGGAUUGUAAAAUUCUUUCACCGGGGACGAUAAUGACGGUACCCGGAGAAGAAGCCCCGGCUAACUUCGUGCCAGCAGCCGCGGUAAUACGAAGGGGGCUAGCGUUGCUCGGAAUUACUGGGCGUAAAGGGAGCGUAGGCGGACAGCUUAGUCAGAGGUGAAAGCCCAGGGCUCAACCUUGGAAUUGCCUUUGAUACUGGCUGUCUUGAGUGUGGGAGAGGUGAGUGGAACUCCGAGUGUAGAGGUGAAAUUCGUAGAUAUUCGGAAGAACACCAGUGGCGAAGGCGACUCACUGGCCCAAUACUGACGCUGAGGCGCGAGAGCGUGGGGAGCAAACAGGAUUAGAUACCCCAGUAGUCC
rnacentral:rRNA from 1 species